rnacentral:rRNA from 1 species
AGCUCCAAUAGCGUAUAUUAAAGUUGUUGCAGUUAAAAAGCUCGUAGUUGGAUUUGUGGUGUGUCCAGUUGGCCUUUGCUCUUUGAGUGAUAGUGCUUUACUGGUCUGCCAUGUUUGGGUGGAAUCUGUGUGGCAUUAAGUUGUCGUGCAGGGGAUGCCCAUCGUUUACUGUGAAAAAAUUAGAGUGUUCAAAGCAGGCUUAUGCCUCUGAAUAUAUUAGCAUGGAAUAAUGAUAUAGGACCUUGGUACUAUUUUGUUGGUUUGCGCACUGAGGUAAUGAUUAAGAGGGACAGUUGGGGGUAUUUGUAUUCCAUUGUCAGAGGUGAAAUUCUUGGAUUUUUGGAAGACAAACUACUGCGAAAGCAUUUACCAAGGAUGUUUUCA